rnacentral:rRNA from 1 species
GAUGAACGCUGGCGGCGUGCCUAAUACAUGCAAGUCGAGCGAACGGACGAGAAGCUUGCUUCUCUGAUGUUAGCAGCGGACGGGUGAGUAACACGUGGAUAACCUACCUAUAAGACUGGGAUAACUUCGGGAAACCGUAGCUAAUACCGGAUAAUAUUUUGAACCGCAUGGUUCAAAAGUGAAAGACGGUCUUGCUGUCACUUAUAGAUGGAUCCGCGCUGCAUUAGCUAGUUGGUAAGGUAACGGCUUACCAAGGCAACGAUGCAUAGCCGACCUGAGAGGGUGAUCGGCCACACUGGAACGGAGACACGGUCCAGACUCCUACGGGAGGCAGCAGUAGGGAAUCUUCCGCAAUGGGCGAAAGCCUGACGGAGCAACGCCGCGUGAGUGAUGAAGGUCUUCGGAUCGUAAAACUCUGUUAUUAGGGAAGAACAUAUGUGUAAGUAACUGUGCACAUCUUGACGGUACCUAAUCAGAAAGCCACGGCUAACUACGUG